rnacentral:rRNA from 1 species
UACGUAGGUGACAAGCGUUGUCCGGAUUUACUGGGCGUAAAGAGCGCGCAGGCGGUCGAUCAAGUCGAGUGUGAAAGCCCCCGGCUCAACUGGGGAGGGUCAUUCGAAACUGGUCGACUCGAAGGCAGGAGAGGGUAGUGGAAUUCCCGGUGUAGUGGUGAAAUGCGUAGAUAUCCGAAAGAACACCGGUGGCGAAGGCGGCGACCUGGGCCUGAACUGACGCUGAGGAGCGAAAGCUAGGGGAGCAAACGGG